GAGAGACUUCCCAGCUGUCUGGCUUGUGGACUGAGCAAUCUGCGGCCGGGUCUCGAGGGGAAAAUAGGUCUGUGGUCCGCAAGGCCCCAAUGGAGACCUUGGGUUCCCGCAGAACCGACUGGGUCUCCAGUAGUCUCUGAGGAGCCGCUCGACCUUCUCCCGACCCUGGAUCUGAGGCAGGAGAUGCCUCCCCCGCGGGUGUUCAAGAGCUUUCUGAGCCUGCUCUUCCAGGGGCUGAGCGUGUUGUUAUCCCUGGCAGGAGACGUGCUGGUCAGCAUGUACAGGGUCCUGAGACUUAAGCUCCGCCCAGAGCCCUGCGGGAUUUCUCCCGGUGCCCACGAAGUCCAUCCCAAAGCAACCAGCUCCCA
rnacentral:sRNA from 1 species